ACGAACGCUGGCGGCGUGCUUAACACAUGCAAGUCGAACGGAAAGGCCCUGCUUUUGUGGGGUGCUCGCGUGGCGAACGGGUGAGUAACACGUGAGUAACCUGCCCUUGACUUUGGGAUCACUUCAGGAAACUGGGGCUAAUACCGGAUAGGAGCUCCUGCUGCAUGGUGGGGGUUGGAAAGUUUCGGCGGUUGGGGAUGGACUCGCGGCUUAUCAGCUUGUUGGUGGGGUAGUGGCUUACCAAGGCUUUGACGGGUAGCCGGCCUGAGAGGGUGACCGGCCACAUUGGGACUGAGAUACGGCCCAGACUCCUACGGGAGGCAGCAGUGGGGAAUAUUGCACAAUGGGCGGAAGCCUGAUGCAGCAACGCCGCGUGCGGGAUGACGGCCUUCGGGUUGUAAACCGCUUUCGCCUGUGACGAAGCGUGAGUGACGGUAAUGGGUAAAGAAGCACCGGCUAACUACGUG
rnacentral:rRNA from 1 species